AUUGAACGCUGGCGGCAGGCCUAACACAUGCAAGUCGAACGAGUGGCGGACGGGUGAGUAAUGUCUGGGAAACUGCACGAUGGAGGGGGAUAACUACUGGAAAAGGUAGCUAAUACCGUAUACUAUCAGAUGUGCCCAGAGGGGUUUAGCUGGUAGGUGGGGUAACGGCUCACCUAGGCGACGAUCCCUAGCUGGUCUGAGAGGAUGACCAGCCACACUGGAACUGAGACACGGUCCAGACUCCUACGGGAGGCAGCAGUGGGGAAUAUUGCACAAUGGGCGCAAGCCUGAUGCAGCCAUGCCGCGUGUGUGAAGAAGGCCUUCGGGUUGUAAAGCACUUUCAGCGGGGAGGCGUUACCCGCAGAAGAAGCACCGGCUAACUCCGUGCCAGCAGCCGCGGUAAUAC
rnacentral:rRNA from 1 species